GACAGAGGGUGCAAACGUUGUUCGGAAUUACUGGGCGUAAAGCGCGUGUAGGCGGCCCAGCAAGUCGGAUGUGAAAGCCCUGGGCUUAACCUAGGAAGUGCAUUCGAAACUGCUGGGCUUGAGUUCUGGAGAGGAAGGCGGAAUUCUCGGUGUAGAGGUGAAAUUCGUAGGUAUCGAGAGGAACACCGGUGGCGAAGGCGGCCUUCUGGACAGUGACUGACGCUGAGACGCGAAAGCGUGGGGAGCAAACAGG
rnacentral:rRNA from 1 species